UGAGGAAUAUUGGUCAAUGGGCGCUAGCCUGAACCAGCCAAGUAGCGUGAAGGAUGAAGGCUCUAUGGGUCGUAAACUUCUUUUAUAUAAGAAUAAAGUACAGUAUGUAUACUGUUUUGUAUGUAUUAUAUGAAUAAGGAUCGGCUAACUCCGUGCCAGCAGCCGCGGUAAUACGGAGGAUCCGAGCGUUAUCCGGAUUUAUUGGGUUUAAAGGGAGCGUAGGUGGACUGGUAAGUCAGUUGUGAAAGUUUGCGGCUCAACCGUAAAAUUGCAGUUGAUACUGUCAGUCUUGAGUACAGUAGAGGUGGGCGGAAUUCGUGGUGUAGCGGUGAAAUGCUUAGAUAUCACGAAGAACUCCGAUUGCGAAGGCAGCUCACUGGACUGCAACUGACACUGAUGCUCGAAAGUGUGGGUAUCAAACAGG
rnacentral:rRNA from 1 species